CCCAUGGUCCUCCCCUUCCCAUGGCUCCCAGGUUUUACCCCUUUUCUACCUGGAGCUCAUUUACCCCACGCCAAGCAACUCACUGCUCUCUGCUUCGGUUGAGGGAGACUUUAGUCUAGUCGUCAAAUAACAUUGCUCGUUCCCAGAGAGCACCCAGCAUAGCUCCCUCAUAGAGCAGUUGCCGGCUGCCCACAGCCAAGCGUCAUUAUGGCUCUGCUUGCUCCUGUGAGCUGCAAGCUUCCUGUGCAUGCAGGGGACCCCGGCAGCGUUAGAGAAUCCUGUAAACCUCAGACGCACUUUGUAAUGGACUGUCUCCAGGUGCCAAAAACGAAACAAACAAAAAAACAAAACAAAACAGAAAUCACAAUUCAUUUUUCCUCUGAAGAGGAGACAGAAAGGAGGAACCAUGCGGCAACUGAGGAUGCAGCUGAGACAGACAGCAACCAGGACCCUGGACUCCAGUUUCCUGUAUCCUUGCUUGGGCCUGCCAGAUCAAGUGUUGUCUGAGGCCAGUACCUAUGCAGACAUUUCCAUUAAGUAAGCCAAGAGACUCACUAGACUAUUUAAGCCAGGGUGAGUUGGCUACCCCACUGCUAAUGACAAAAAAAAAAUAGUCUUGGAUAAUAUAAGCCCUUUUCUUAGAGCCUUUUAUA